CCUCACAAUAAACCAGACCAGAAGGAUGUCCCAUCCGAAUGCCCACACCUCUCCAUCUCGGCUCUUUGGGUCGUCUCCACCUACUGCCCUCCCAUCUACACUUGACUACAGACUGGUUUAGUCUGCUGGCCCGGGUGUCAGGGCCAAUCAUCAAUAAAGUCCUCAGACCAAUUUUGUGCUCAGGCCUUUCUCCCGGCAGUGGAUCGCAACCACAGUUGCGUGACCAGCUAAUUUCUCAUUAACCCAUUUUUUACAUUCUAGAUUCCCAUGUCUGGAAGGACCUCAUCCUGGCAAUAGAAUUACUGGCGUUUGUUAGGAGCUGGGUACUAAGCUGUCGCCACAAUUAGUUAAUCCUCCCAACGCCUGGGAGAAGGGUGUUACCAUUAACCCCAUUUUGCUCGUUAGUAAACUGAGGCAUGGGACAGUGAAGGCCCACCAAGGUCAUACAGCUGCUAUUUGCGAAGCUGCUGGGAUUCCAGUUAGGCUUGUCAGACUCUAGUGACCAACUUAUCCACUGUCCUCUUUAAAGAUGUUACAAAACCCUGUAGAAUCUUAGGAAAACUAAUUUAAAGACAUAAUUUCACAUCCAAUUUAAAGGAGGUUGGGGCAGGAAUACUCUAUGAAACUCAAUCCAUUAAUCCCGGGGAUGGACCCCAGUUUAAUCCAAUUCACUCAUUUCCCUAAGGCAGAAACAAGGCUAGAGAGGGGAGGUGAGCAAGCCAGAGACAGAGCCAGGGAGGACCACACCCCAGGGCCCAGCCUCCUCCUGGGUCUCCCUUUGGCUGUGUGGGAGGAAGGAGGUGGUGAGGCGUCCAGCCUGGCUGGGGUCAGGGCUGGGUGUUGGGGAUCAGGUCAGGAGUUUCCAUCCCGAAGGGAAGUGUCACUACUUUGAGAGGAAAACAAGACGCAAACCAUUUGAACCACCAUGUUCCUGACGCCUGACAUCCCUCCCUCCAACUGGCCCAGACGCCCCAGCCCUUGGGGUCGCAGUGCAGAGAAAGACAACAGCACCCGCCAGCCAGCCCCAUCUCCUCCAGCCACGACUCCCGGCUCCCCAGGCUUCCAGCUGGGACUGAUGGUAAUCACUCCCACACCCCAACCCCAGCCUGGGGAAGGGAAGAGAAGGAAGGUCUUCCCCCACCCCAAGCCGUCUCUGGCCUGCGGUCAGAGGGAGGGGCUCUAGCUGUGGAAAGUUGGCAGAGGCGGCCGGCAGCAGCCGGGAGAGUGGAAAAAAUGAUAUCAAACCCGGAAAAAUGCAGGCCGGAUGGAGGGCCGGAGUGGGCCCUGGGAGAGGAGACAAAGUUUUGCUGUGUUGCCCAUGAUGGUCUCAAAUUCCUGAAUCCAAGAUCCUCCCACCUCAGUUUCCCAAGAUGCUGAGAUGACAGGCAUGAACCACUGGGCCCCGCCCUGCUAUUGUACCUUAAGGCCUUGCAGAAACCAGGAUUUGUUAAGGGAAUGAAAGCUCCUUGAGGGAAGGGCCCUCAGUGCUGCCCUGACCCCAGCACCUACAACCAGUGCCUGGCUCAUAAUAGGUGUCUGUGAAUAGGGAGCGGCUGGGAAAGCAUGUGAGAAAACCACACUCUCCCUUCCAGGGACACAGCCUAUUAUAGUUUAGAAAUUACUUUCUCAUCCAUAAAAACAAAACCAAAAAAAUAGCCAACUUUGUUUUAACUCUUUCUCUGUUAGUAUUGGGCCCAAUGCUGCAUGCUGGGUACAGAUUUUCUCACAUUCUCAUCACCACAACCCUUCACUUAAUAGGUACCGUUUAAUAGAUGAGGACACGGAGGCUAAGAGAACCCAAAAAUCUCUCCAAGGCUGUACAGCAAGAAAGGGCCAGAUCAGUGGUCGAAAGGAAGGCAGGAACUGCCGUCUUAGUUGCACAAUCAGGGAAACUGAGACUCAGAAAGAGGGGAUGAGUUGUCUAAGCCCAAAGUCAUGUAAUAAACAGCAAACAGUUACGUCACUCUUACUAUAUACCAGGUGCUGUGCUAAGCGUUCUUCAUACAUUAAUUUAUUAAAUCCUGAAAACUGAUCAUAUUAUCACCACACCAGUUUUGAGAUGGAGAAAACUGUAGCACAGAGAAGUUCAGUAACCUGCUAAGACUGCAGUUAGCAAGUAGCAGAACCAGAAUUCACACCAGAGAGGUCUAGCUCAUAGCAUUAAGGGUGGUCUGUGUUGCACCAUUUGUUGGCACAGCAAGCCUGGAACAGGCUGGUAUAAAAAGGAAGGUGUCUUUGUCUCCAGCCCUGCUGCCUGGGCUAGUGUCAAGGCAGAGAACAAAAGCACAUUGAGAGCAUCCUCAGUUGCCAGCUGGGACUUUCCACCUUGAAGGGAGGAUACUGUUAUGGAAAAAAUGAUAAAGCUCUUGGAAGAUGGAUGUCUCCCCAGGGGCCCCCAAGCCUCCUCAGAGCCCCUCCUCUUGCUGUAGGGGAGGGCCACAAACUGUGCUGGCCUGGUCCAGAUGAGACAAAGGCCACCUGGAUCCCAAGACACCCCAGCCAGGCUGCUCGAAUACUGAGGAUCAUUGGCCUUGGUGGUAUGUUCCAAUUUCUAAGCCCAGGCAUGAAGCUUCUGCUCAGGGACCCCCAAGGAAUCAGGUUCAGGCUGGAACUCCCUGUCCUUGGAGAUGGGAAAUACACAUCUCAUAGGGCCUACUCCCUCCUUUCUUCAUUCAGCAAACAUUGACAAGGAUAUGAGCUCUGAGGGAAGACACAGAAUGUAGAGAGGAUCAUAGCUAGUGGGUACAGGGACAUCCAAGUCCCUGCCCUGGCCACAAAGGGAAGGGAAGGGUAAACGAGGGGUAGAAGUAGUGAAAAAUUCACCUACAACUGCUUGGUAAUGAUGAAGAAUCCCUCGGGUCUGUCAUGACCAUGUGAUCUUAGGCAAAUCAAAAUAUACAGAGCAAAGGGGUUAACAUAGAAUUCUCUACGUAAUUGUC